GAUGCCAUUAAUUUGGUGUUGCAAGGAAUCAGGACUGUUACCUUGAAAAAUUAGAGUGUUUAAAGCAGGCUUACGCUUGAAUACAUUAGCAUGGAAUAAUGAAAUAGGACGUUUGAACCUAUUUUAGUUGGUUUCUUAGGAUCGACGUAAUGAUUAAUAGGGAUAGUUGGGGGCAUUAGUAUUCAAUUGUCAGAGGUGAAAUUCUUGGAUUUAUUGAAGACUAACUACUGCGAAAGCAUUUGCCAAGGAUGUUUUCAUUAAUCAAGAACGAAAGUUAGGGGAUCGAAGACGAUCAGAUACCGUCGUAGUCUUAACCAUAAACUAUGCCGACUAGGGAUCGGAUGAUGUUAAUUUUUUAAUGACUCAUUCGGCGCCUUACG
rnacentral:rRNA from 1 species